UACGGAGGAUGCGAGCGUUAUCCGGAAUUAUUGGACGUAAAGAGCGCGCAGGUGGUUGAUUAAGUCUGAUGUGAAAGCCCACGGCUUAACCGUGGAGGGUCAUUGGAAACUGGUCGACUUGAGUGCAGAAGAGGGAAGUGGAAUUCCAUGUGUAGCGGUGAAAUGCGUAGAGAUAUGGAGGAACACCAGUGGCGAAGGCGGCUUCCUGGUCUGUAACUGACACUGAGGCGCGAAAGCGUGGGGAGCAAACAGGAUUAGA
rnacentral:rRNA from 1 species